rnacentral:misc_RNA from 1 species
AACGAGGCCGACCUGCGGCUGAGUUACCUGCGGAGGGAUCAUUACAAGUGACCCCGGUUUUACCACCGGGAUGUUCAUAACCCUUUGUUGUCUGACUCUGUUGCCUCCGGGGCGACCCUGCCUUCGGGCGGGGGCUCCGGGUGGACACUUCAAACUCUUGCGUAACUUUGCAGUCUGAGUAAACUUAAUUAAUAAAUUAAAACUUUUAACAACGGAUCU